rnacentral:rRNA from 1 species
AACGUAGGACGCAAGCGUUAUCCGGAGUUACUGGGCGUAAAGGGCGGGCAGGCGGUCAGAUAGGUCUGCUGUGAAAACUCGAGGCUCAACCUCGAGAUGUCGGCGGAAACCAUUUGGCUAGAGUCCGGAAGAGGAAAGUGGAAUUCCUGGUGUAGCGGUGAAAUGCGCAGAUAUCAGGAAGAACACCCGUGGCGAAGGCGGCUCACUGGUCCGGAUCUGACGCUGAGGCGCGAAAGCGUGGGGAGCAAACAGG